rnacentral:rRNA from 1 species
UACGUAGGGGGCAAGCGUUGUCCGGAGUUACUGGGCGUAAAGCGCACGCAGGCGGUCUGCUAAGUUUGGAGUGACAGUUGGUGGCUCAACCACCAAAGUGCUUUGAGAACUGACAGACUUGAGGGCUUCAGAGGGACACGGAAUUCCGGGUGGAGUGGUGAAAUGCGUAGAGAUCCGGAGGAACACCGAAGGCGAAGGCAGUGUCCUGGGG